rnacentral:rRNA from 1 species
GGGGUUCGCGUCCCAUUAGGUAGUUGGUGAGGUAACGGCCCACCAAGCCGACGAUGGGUAGCCGAGCUGAAGGCUGAUCGGCCACACUGGAACUGAGACACGGUCCAGACUCCUACGGGAGGCAGCAGUGGGGAAUAUUGGGCAAUGGGCGCAAGCCUGACGCAGCAACGCCGCGUGCAGGAAGAAGGUCUUCGGAUUGUAAACUGUUGUCGCAGGGGAAGCGGUACCCUGUGAGAAAGUCACGGCUAACUACGUGCCAGCAGCCACGGUAAUACGUAGGUGACAAGCGUUGUCCGUAUUUACUGGGUGUAAAGGGCGCGUAGGCGGGAUAGCAAGUCAGCCGUGAAAUGCCGAGGCUUAACCUCGGAGCUGCGGUUGAAACUGUUAUUCUUGAGUAUCGGAGAGGAAAGCGGAAUUCAUAGUGUAGCGGUGAAAUGAGUAGAUAUUAGGAGGAACACCAGUGGCGAAGGCGGCUUUCUGGACGACAACUGACGCUGAGGCGCGAAAGUGUGGGGAGCAAACAGGAUUAGAUACCCUGGUAGUUCACGCCGUAAACGAUGGAUACUAGGUGUAGGACUGUGCCGCAGUUAACACAAUAAGUAUCCCACCUGGGGAGUACGACCGCAAGGUUGCAACUCAAAU